GUCGGAGAGAGGUAGAGAUAGACUUGGAGAACUGCGGACAAACAAGAGGGGAGAAGCAGGCACGUGGCGGGUGUGCCUAGGUCAACUGCACACAAUGCCCGAAAGCGAGUCGAGAGGAGGAGGCUCAUCGAGCGGGUGGAGGAAGGCGUGAACGAAGAAACUGCAGUGUGCCAUUAAUCAACAGCCUAAAACAAAAAGAGGUCCUCCACUUAUGACACGCCCGCGCAAAUGCACCCCAAAUAUCUUCACAGAAGACUCUCUCGGAAUACUCUGGGAGAGGGUCGUUCGCAGUAUUGUGCGUAGCGGAGGACUUUCCGACUUUCAGUUAAAACGUCCAAAUAAACAGCGGCUUGAAUUAAGCACUGCUCCCGCGAGGGCGAUGGAGUAGGCAAAGAAAAA